rnacentral:rRNA from 1 species
AUUGAACGCUGGCGGCAUGCUUUACACAUGCGAGUCGAACGGCAGCGCGGGCUUCGGCCUGGCGGCGAGUGGCGAACGGGUGAGUAAUGCAUCGGAACGUGCCCAGUAGUGGGGGAUAGCCCGGCGAAAGCCGGAUUAAUACCGCAUACGACCUGAGGGUGAAAGCGGGGGACCGAAAGGCCUCGCGCUAUUGGAGCGGCCGUUGUCGGAUUAGCUAGUUGGUGGGGUAAAGGCUUACCAAGGCGACGAUCCGUAGCUGGUCUGAGAGGACGACCAGCCACACUGGGACUGAGACACGGCCCAGACUCCUACGGGAGGCAGCAGUGGGGAAUUUUGGACAAUGGGGGCAACCCUGAUCCAGCCAUGCCGCGUGCGGGAAGAAGGCCUUCGGGUUGUAAACCGCUUUUGUUCGGGAAGAAAUCCUCUGGGCUAAUACCCCGGGGGGAUGACGGUACCGGAAGAAUAAGCACCGGCUAACUACGUG